GAACGAACGCUGGCGGCAUGCCUAACACAUGCAAGUCGAACGAGACCUUCGGGUCUAGUGGCGCCCGGGUGCGUAACGCGUGGGAACCUGCCCUUAGGUUCGGAAUAACUCCCCGAAAGGGGUGCUAAUACCGGAAAAUGUCUUCGGACCAAAGAUUUAUCGCCUUUGGAUGGGCCCGCGUUGGAUUAGCUAGUUGGUAGGGUAAAAGCCUGCCAAGGCGACGAUCCAUAGCUGGUCUGAGAGGAUGAUCAGCCACACUGGGACUGAGACACGACCCAGACUCCUACGGGAAGCAGCAGUGGGGAAUAUUGGACAAUGGGCGAAAGCCUGAUCCAGCAAUGCCGCGUGAGUGAUGAAGGCCUUAGGGUUGUAAAGCUCUUUUACCCGGGAUGAUAAUGACAGUACCGGGAGAAUAAGCUCCGGCUAACUCCGUG
rnacentral:rRNA from 1 species